UACAGUCAUAUCAUGUUAAAACACCGGUUCCCGUACGAUCAUCGAAGUUAAGCAACAUCAAGCCUGGUCAGUAGGCGAUCGCUUGGGAAUACCCGGUGCUGUAA